rnacentral:rRNA from 1 species
GUUUGUCGCGUUGUUCGUGAAAUCUCACGGCUUAACUGUGAGCGUGCGGGCGAUACGGGCAGACUUGAGUACUGCAGGGGAGACUGGAAUUCCUGGUGUAGCGGUGGAAUGCGCAGAUAUCAGGAGGAACACCGGUGGCGAAGGCGGGUCUCUGGGCAGUAACUGACGCUGAGGAGCGAAAGCGUGGGGAGCGAACAGGAUUAGAUACCCUGGUAGUCCACGCCGUAAACGGUGGGUACUAGGUGUGGGUUUCCUUCCUUGGGAUCCGUGCCGUAGCUAACGCAUUAAGUACCCCGCCUGGGGAGUACGGCCGCAAGGCUAAAACUCAAAGAAAUUGACGGGGGCCCGCACAAGCGGCGGAGCAUGUGGAUUAAUUCGAUGCGACGCGAAGAACCUUACCUGGGUUUGACAUGCACAGGACGCCGGCAGAGAUGUCGGUUCCCUUGUGGCCUGUGUGCAGGUGGUGCAUGGCUGUCGUCAGCUCGUGUCGUGAGAUGUUGGGUUAAGUCCCGCAACGAGCGCAACCCUUGUCUCAUGUUGCCAGCGGGUAAUGCCGGGGACUCGUGAGAGACUGCCGGGGUCAACUCGGAGGAAGGUGGGGAUGACGUCAAGUCAUCAUGCCCCUUAUGUCCAGGGCUUCACACAUGCUACAAUGGCCGGUACAAAGGGCUGCGAUGCCGCGAGGUUAAGCGAAUCCUUUUAAAGCCGGUCUCAGUUCGGAUCGGGGUCUGCAACUCGACCCCGUGAAGUCGGAGUCGCUAGUAAU